rnacentral:rRNA from 1 species
UAUGAGAGUUUGAUCCUGGCUCAGGACGAACGCUGGCGGCGUGCCUAAUACAUGCAAGUCGUACGCUUCUUUUUCCACCGGAGCUUGCUCCACCGGAAAAAGAAGAGUGGCGAACGGGUGAGUAACACGUGGGUAACCUGCCCAUCAGAAGGGGAUAACACUUGGAAACAGGUGCUAAUACCGUAUAACAAUCGAAACCGCAUGGUUUUGAUUUGAAAGGCGCUUUCGGGUGUCGCUGAUGGAUGGACCCGCGGUGCAUUAGCUAGUUGGUGAGGUAACGGCUCACCAAGGCCACGAUGCAUAGCCGACCUGAGAGGGUGAUCGGCCACAUUGGGACUGAGACACGGCCCAAACUCCUACGGGAGGCAGCAGUAGGGAAUCUUCGGCAAUGGACGAAAGUCUGACCGAGCAACGCCGCGUGAGUGAAGAAGGUUUUCGGAUCGUAAAACUCUGUUGUUAGAGAAGAACAAGGAUGAGAGUAACUGUUCAUCCCUUGACGGUAUCUAACCAGAAAGCCACGGCUAACUACGUGCCAGCAGCCGCGGUAAUACGUAGGUGGCAAGCGUUGUCCGGAUUUAUUGGGCGUAAAGCGAGCGCAGGCGGUUUCUUAAGUCUGAUGUGAAAGCCCCCGGCUCAACCGGGGAGGGUCAUUGGAAACUGGGAGACUUGAGUGCAGAAGAGGAGAGUGGAAUUCCAUGUGUAGCGGUGAAAUGCGUAGAUAUAUGGAGGAACACCAGUGGCGAAGGCGGCUCUCUGGUCUGUAACUGACGCUGAGGCUCGAAAGCGUGGGGAGCAAACAGGAUUAGAUACCCUGGUAGUCCACGCCGUAAACGAUGAGUGCUAAGUGUUGGAGGGUUUCCGCCCUUCAGUGCUGCAGCUAACGCAUUAAGCACUCCGCCUGGGGAGUACGACCGCAAGGUUGAAACUCAAAGGAAUUGACGGGGGCCCGCACAAGCGGUGGAGCAUGUGGUUUAAUUCGAAGCAACGCGAAGAACCUUACCAGGUCUUGACAUCCUUUGACCACUCUAGAGAUAGAGCUUCCCCUUCGGGGGCAAAGUGACAGGUGGUGCAUGGUUGUCGUCAGCUCGUGUCGUGAGAUGUUGGGUUAAGUCCCGCAACGAGCGCAACCCUUAUUGUUAGUUGCCAUCAUUCAGUUGAGCACUCUAGCAAGACUGCCGGUGACAAACCGGAGGAAGGUGGGGAUGACGUCAAAUCAUCAUGCCCCUUAUGACCUGGGCUACACACGUGCUACAAUGGGAAGUACAACGAGUCGCGAAGUCGCGAGGCUAAGCUAAUCUCUUAAAGCUUCUCUCAGUUCGGAUUGUAGGCUGCAACUCGCCUACAUGAAGCCGGAAUCGCUAGUAAUCGCGGAUCAGCACGCCGCGGUGAAUACGUUCCCGGGCCUUGUACACACCGCCCGUCACACCACGAGAGUUUGUAACACCCGAAGUCGGUGAGGUAACCUUUUGGAGCCAGCCGCCUAAGGUGGGAUAGAUGAUUGGGGUGAAGUCGUAACAAGGUAGCCGUAUCGGAAGGUGCGGCUGGAUCACCUCCUUUCUAAGGAA